rnacentral:rRNA from 1 species
UAGGGAAUCUUCCACAAUGGACGCAAGUCUGAUGGAGCAACGCCGCGUGAGUGAAGAAGGUUUUCGGAUCGUAAAGCUCUGUUGUUGGUGAAGAAGGAUAGAGGCAGUAACCGGUCUUUAUUUGACGGUAAUCAACCAGAAAGUCACGGCUAACUACGUGCCAGCAGCCGCGGUAAUACGUAGGUGGCAAGCGUUGUCCGGAUUUAUUGGGCGUAAAGCGAGCGCAGGCGGAAUGAUAAGUCUGAUGUGAAAGCCCACGACUCAACCGUGGAACUGCAUCGGAAACUGUCAUUCUUGAGUGCAGAAGAGGAGAGUGGAACUCCAUGUGUAGCGGUGGAAUGCGUAGAUAUAUGGAAGAACACCAGUGGCGAAGGCGGCUCUCUGGUCUGCAACUGACGCUGAGGCUCGAAAGCAUGGGUAGCGAACAGGAUUAGAUACCCUGGUAGUCCAUGCCGUAAACGAUGAGCGCUAGGUGUUGGGGACUUUCCGGUCCUCAGUGCCGCAGCAAACGCAUUAAGCGCUCCGCCUGGGGAGUACGACCGCAAGGUUGAAACUCUGAAGUGAAUUGAC